UAUGAAGGUAGCUAAAACAAGAGAAAGUCCAUAGAGAAAGAGAGAGUAGAGUAGUACAGGUCGAGGAGAAGACGGCAGCCAAGGCGUAUUUAACAAAUAGUUCCAUAGAUACAGCCAAAGCUGCCUGGGAUUUACAGGUUAGAAAAUUACCUCCAACAUCAUCGUUCAUGGGGUGGUGAUUCAUAACUGCAUACUACCUGCCAAAAGAAGCCAAUAACAACAAGAGGAGCAAGGAGUGUCUAUGAACACUAUAUUCUGUGCUAUUUGUCUCUAAAUUGAUACACACACCACCACACCAUAUGCAAUAGUGUAUCUCUCUUUUGUAUGAAUCUAAAUGGACUUAGUGGGCCUUGAUGCAUAAAGAGAGGGAGAGGGAGAGUUAUAUGCCUUCACCCCUGGGUUGCCCGAAAGACGUUGAGAGCGUGUCCAUGAGCCCUGAGCAUUUAACUAUGUAAUGUUCAUCCCAUUAUGACCUGAUCAUAAUAUCAUGCAUACACUACACCAAAAUAUUAAAUUAGUGACAUUUUAAUAAGUGAUAUUUGUAAAAAAAUGCCAUAAUAAUAGUAUUUCACAAGAAUUUGUAUAUAAAUAUUAUUGUUGUUA